rnacentral:rRNA from 1 species
GACGAACGCUGGCGGCGUGCUUAACACAUGCAAGUCGAACGGAAAGGCCCUGCUUUUGUGGGGUGCUCGAGUGGCGAACGGGUGAGUAACACGUGAGUAACCUGCCCUGGACUUUGGGAUAACUUCAGGAAACUGGGGCUAAUACCGGAUAGGAGCUCCUGCUGCAUGGUGGGGGUUGGAAAGUUUCGGCGGUUGGGGAUGGACUCGCGGCUUAUCAGCUUGUUGGUGGGGUAGUGGCUUACCAAGGCUUUGACGGGUAGCCGGCCUGAGAGGGUGACCGGCCACAUUGGGACUGAGAUACGGCCCAGACUCCUACGGGAGGCAGUAGUGGGGAAUAUUGCACAAUGGGCGGAAGCCUGAUGCAGCAACGCCGCGUGCGGGAUGACGGCCUUCGGGUUGUAAACCGCUUUCGCCUGCGACGAAGCGUGAGUGACGGUAAUGGGUAAAGAAGCACCGGCUAACUACGUG